UACGGGGGGAGCAAGCGUUGUUCGGAUUUACUGGGCGUAAAGGGCGCGUAGGCGGUCGUGACAAGUCACUUGUGAAAUCUCCGGGCUUAACUCGGAACGGUCAAGUGAUACUGUCGGACUAGAGUACAGAAGGGGCAACUGGAAUUCUCGGUGUAGCGGUGAAAUGCGUAGAUAUCGAGAGGAACACCUGCGGCGAAGGCGGGUUGCUGGGACGUAACUGACGCUGAGACGCGAAAGCGUGGGGAGCAAACGGG
rnacentral:rRNA from 1 species